AAAUAUAUAUUAUUUUAUAUACAUAUUUGCGUGUGUGUGUGUUUUCUUUUACACAUUCGUCGCAUGUUAUCGACUUUCGAAUCAUAACAAAUGCACAAAAACGCAGCCGAUUCUCUGUUGACCGAGCAGGGUAUUUGAAGGGCUGCAAACCCAAAAGAAAUCAAAAUUGUCGAAGGUUCGGCUUAAGGUUCGAACCAACUUCCCAUGCUUAAAGAUAAGCCAGCCUUCAUUUGCAUAGAUAUUGUGGGCCAGCUCUUACCUCGGCCUGGUCCUGCUCGCAGGCGUAUUCGACGUUUUGGAAUAUUUGCCAAUUGCAGCGCUUUCGCAUUUCCUGUCGUGCCUGAUGUCGGCGAUACCAUUUCUGUAUAAAUAUUGCUGCUCUGAUUGCUGAAAUAAAUUGACAGACAGAUUUUAAGACGUUAACAAAAAGAAGUUGCAACUAAAAAAAGCGAGAUAAUAAGUAAAUUCAUGUUACUUAAUAUUACAGGCUUCUCUCUCUCUCUCUCUCUAUGGCUGCAUCUCUCUGCUGUCGCUUGCAACAGGGUUUCUGCAUGAGCACACAGGUUGGCGGAAGGAAAUGCACUCGGCAGGAAAUGCAGACGGGCUGAUUGAGUGAUUGAUUGCUUUAUCGUUAAGGAUGCGUGACACACACACACACACACACACACACACACACACAGUAUAUAUAUGGUGUAGGGACAUGCUUUCUCUGACUGUCACAUAAUUACAAUUACAUUAUUACUUGCCGUUGUCAUCCAUUAUUAUGUAAUAGACUUGGAGAACGGAGUGCGAAUAUAAUAGUCCUUGUGACUGCCGUCCGUAGUCAA